CAGCAGCAGCCGCGGUAAUACGUAGGUGGCAAGCGUUGUCCGGAAUUAUUGGGCGUAAAGGGCUCGCAGGCGGUUUCUUAAGUCUGAUGUGAAAGCCCCCGGCUCAACCGGGGAGGGUCAUUGGAAACUGGGAAACUUGAGUGCAGAAGAGGAGAGUGGAAUUCCACGUGUAGCGAUGAAAUGCGUAGAGAUGUGGAGGAACACCAGUGGCGAAGGCGACUCUCUGGUCUGUAACUGACGCUGAGGAGCGAAAGCGUGGGGAGCGAACAGGAUUAGAUACCCCGAGUAGUCCCUGUCUCUUAUA
rnacentral:rRNA from 1 species